CCACGUGAGCACAGAGUUUAUGCAAAUCGUAAUGGAACGUCCUUUUUCUCCAAGUGUUUAAAAGGAUGCGCUGAAGAAUGAACAUAUUAGACCAGAGAGCAUGGAGCUGUAGCGACAUGUUGAAAUGUUUGAGAAAUCUAUCACUCUAUAGACCAAGCAGACUAAGGCGUGAGCCGGAUGUUGCAAAAUGGUUAUAAACUCUGAAACUAUCGAUCACUACAGAAGAAGCCAAUCCUAGACGUCGCGUUAUCAAUCUGCAGCUGGAAACAUACGUAGCCUAGGAUGAGAACACCAUAACCUCUGAAGCAUUCUAACGAGAUUAACUCUGAGAAUUACUGUACAGGGUACGUCGAAAUGUCUAUUCUUACCACCACCAUGACCAGGAGCUCUACCUAAGGACAUGGUGAUCUCUGGUGGCCGAACCAGAGUCGUACACCCAACAUCUCCGUGACCAAAGGAUUUGGACGAUCCAGGACAGCUCAAUCAUACAGAGAGCUGUGAAAGUGUGUGUGUCGAUGAAAAGGUACCAAUGUAGUGCGGUGGUUCUCAGUGCUAGUCCUGGCGACUCAAAGGGGUGCACAUUAGCACUACACAGCUGAUUCAAAUGAUCAACUCAUCAUCAAGCUUCAAGUGAUACCUUGUAACUGGAGAUUCCUUCAAAACGAUUGCCUAGAGUUACCGUGUAGGGCACUGCACAGUUGGGUGACCAGGGCCAUCUGGGACUGCCUCCUGGGGGAAUUCAGGCGUGUGAAGGCUACGUGUGUCCUGCAUAACUUCAUGAGGAUAGAAGACCAGGAGGGGAUCUGCAGCUCACCGCCAUGUGCCAGAGCUGCUGCUCUGCAGGAUGUUUCAAGGAUGGGGACCAAGGCAGCAUGGGAGGCUAACCGUGUGCGGGAGAUCUUCACCUCCUACUUCUUCAAAGAGGGUGCUGUUCCCUGGAAACACCAUAGACUACACUAUGCACAACCAAAGGCUCUUUUAAGACCAAUCCACAUUGCAAUUAGAGUAUUCUUCCAUUUACUUAGCUAUGUCUACUGCAGUUAUUAAAUUCCCAGUUUCUCUCCCUUUGAUUUCUACUUCUCAGGUGAGGAUGCUGUUUAGGUAAGGGUGAUGUCUGUAUAAGAGUCACCCAUAUUGAACACAUUUAGAGCAAUUAGACACACUAUAGCCCACAACUACACACUUGUCUAUCAAUUUGAUUGAUGGAUUGUGUUGUGCAGUAAGCAGGCUCAGGUACAGUGGGGCAAAAAAGUAUUUAGUCAGCCACCAAUUGUGCAAGUUCUCCCACUUAAAAAGAUGAGAGAGGCCUGUAAUUUUCAUCAUAGGUACACUUCAACUAUGAUAGACAAAAUGAGAAAAAAAAUCCAGAAAAUCACAUUGUAGGAUUUUUAAUGAAUUUAUUUGCAAAUUAUGGUGGAAAAUAAGUAUUUGGUCAAUAACAAAAGUUUAUCUCGAUACUUUGUUAUAUACCCUUUGUUGGCAAUGACAGAGGUCAAACCUUUUCUGUAAGUCUUCACAAGGUUUUCACACACUGUUGCUGGUAUUUUGGCCCAUUCCUCCAUGCAGAUCUCUUCUAGAGCAGUGAUGUUUUGGGGCUGUUGCUGGGCAACACGGACUUUCAACUCCCUCCAAAGAUUGUCUAUGGGGUUGAGAUCUGGAGACUGGCUAGGCCACUCCAGGACCUUGAAAUGCUUCUUACGAAGCCACUCCUUUGUUGCCCGGGCGGUGUGUUUGGGAUCAUUGUCAUGCUGAAAGACCCAGCCACGUUUCAUCUUCAAUGCCCUUGCUGAUGGAAGGAGGUUUUCACUCAAAAUCUCACGAUACAUGGCCCCAUUCAUUCUUUCCUUUACACAGAUCAGUCGUCCUGGUCCCUUUGCAGAAAAACAGCCCCAAAGCAUGAUGUUUCCACCCCCAUGCUUCACAGUAGGUAUGGUGUUCUUUGGAUGCAACUCAGCAUUCUUUGUCCUCCAAACACGACGAGUUGAGUUUUUACCAAAAAGUUAUAUUUUAGUUUCAUCUGACCAUAUGACCAAUCUUCUUCUGGAUCAUCCAAAUGCUCUCUAGCAAACUUCAGACGGGCCUGGACAUGUACUGGCUUAAGCAGGGGGACACGUCUGGCACUGCAGGAUUUGAGUCCCUGGCGGCGUAGUGUGUUACUGAUGGUAGGCUUUGUUACUUUGGUCCCAGCUCUCUGCAGGUCAUUCACUAGGUCCCCCCGUGUGGUUCUGGGAUUUUUGCUCACCGUUCUUGUGAUCAUUUUGACCCCACGGGGUGAGAUCUUGCAUGGAGCCCCAGAUCGAGGGAGAUUAUCAGUUGUCUUGUAUGUCUUCCAUUUCCUAAUAAUUUCUCCCACAGUUGAUUUCUUCAAACCAAGCUGCUUACCUAUUGCAGAUUCAGUCUUCCCAGCCUGGUGCAGGUCUACAAUUUUAUUUCUGGUGUCCUUUGACAGCUCUUUGGUCUUGGCCAUAGUGGAGUUUGGAGUGUGACUGUUUGAGGUUGUGGACAGGUGUCUUUCAUACUGAUAACAAGUUCAAACAGGUGCCAUUAAUACAGGUAACGAGUGGAGGACAGAGGAGCCUCUUAAAGAAGAAGUUACAGGUCUGUGAGAGCCAGAAAUCUUGCUUGUUUGUAGGUGACCAAAUACUUAUUUUCCACCAUCAUUAAAAAUAAAUUCAUUAAAAAUCAUAUGAUGUGAUUUUCUGGAUUUCUUUUUCUCAUUUUGUCUGUCAUAGUUGAA